GAUGAACGCUAGCGGCAGGCUUAAUACAUGCAAGUCGUGGGGCAGCAGGUUUGUAGCAAUACAGAUGCUGGCGACCGGCAAACGGGUGCGGAACACGUACAGAACCUUCCUUUGAGCGGGGAAUAGCCCAGAGAAAUUUGGAUUAAUACCCCAUAGUAUAAUGAAGUGGCAUCACUUUAUUAUUAAAGAUUUAUCACUCGAAGAUGGCUGUGCAGCUGAUUAGGUAGUUGGCGGGGUAAAGGCCCACCAAGCCUGCGAUCAGUAACUGGUGUGAGAGCACGACCAGUCACACGGGCACUGAGACACGGGCCCGACUCCUACGGGAGGCAGCAGUAAGGAAUAUUGGUCAAUGGAGGCAACUCUGAACCAGCCAUGCCGCGUGGAGGAUGAAGGUCCUCUGGAUUGUAAACUUCUUUUAUAUGGGACGAAAAAAGGCUUUUCUAAGUCGUCUGACGGUACCAUAUGAAUAAGCACCGGCUAACUCCGUGCCAG
rnacentral:rRNA from 1 species